rnacentral:rRNA from 1 species
UACGUAGGGGCCGAGCGUUGUCCGGAGUUAUUGGGCGUAAAGCGCGCGCAGGCGGCCUCGCGCGCCCGACGUGAAAGCCCCCGGCUUAACCGGGGAGGGUCGUUGGGGACGGCGGGGCUUGAGGGCGGGAGAGGGUGGUGGAAUUCCCGGUGUAGUGGUGAAAUGCGUAGAGAUCGGGAGGAACACCCGUGGCGAAGGCGGCCACCUGGGCCGACCCUGACGCUGGAGGCGCGAAGGCGUGGGGAGCGAACGGG